rnacentral:misc_RNA from 1 species
CCUGUUCGAGCGUCAUUAGUCCAAAUCACGUCUAACGUGGUCUUGGGGCCUGCCUCUGGGCAGCCCUUAAACGCAGUGGCGGCGCGUCUGGCUCUAAGCGUAGUAAUUCUUCUCGCUAUAGGGUCCUGCGGAUGCUUGCCAGCAACCCCCAAUACACUAGGUUUGACCUCGGAUCAGGUAGGGAUACCCGCUGAACUUAA